AGCUAAUCUUGUCUGAAUCGUCCCUCUUGUGUCGGUGUUUAUGAAGCUCUGGAACUGAGGGACGGCGGGUCUGACUACUUGGGCAGGGGGGUUUCCAAGGCUGUUAGCAAUGUGAACUCCAUUAUUGCGCCCGCUUUGAUCGGCAAGGACCCUACCGCUCAAACUGAGCUCGACAACUUUAUGGUUACUGUGAUACAUACUGUGUUUUGGAUAGAUAGUUGGCCAAAUUGUAGCAUGUUCAUGCCCACGCAACCUGCUACUAGGGGUUGGUGUUCUUAGUUUUCUACUGGUAAUAGAGUGUGCUGAUUGAGCCAACCAGUGGCAACAUAAGCAUUGGGCUGGCCUUCAUGGCUGUUGCCAAGGGUUACAGACUUGUACUCACGAUGCCGCCUCCAUGAGUAUGGAGAGGAGAAUCAUCCUGAAGGUUUUUGGUGCUGAGUUGAUCCUCACAGACCCACUUUUGGGAAUGAAAGGAGCUAUAUC